rnacentral:rRNA from 1 species
AGCGAACGCUGGCGGCAGGCCUAACACAUGCAAGUCGAACGAACUCUUCGGAGUUAGUGGCGGACGGGUGAGUAACACGUGGGAACGUGCCUUUAGGUUCGGAAUAACUCAGGGAAACUUGUGCUAAUACCGAAUGUGCCCUUCGGGGGAAAGAUUUAUCGCCUUUAGAGCGGCCCGGGUCUGAUUAGCUAGUUGGUGAGGUAAAGGCUCACCAAGGCGACGAUCAGUAGCUGGUCUGAGAGGAUGAUCAGCCACAUUGGGACUGAGACACGGACCAAAACCCUACGGGAGGCAGCAGUGGGGAAUAUUGCGCAAUGGGCGAAAGCCUGACGCAGCCAUGCCGCGUGAAUGAUGAAGGUCUUAGGAUUGUAAAAUUCUUUCACCGGGGACGAUAAUGACGGUACCCGGAGAAGAAGCCCCGGCUAACUUCGUG